rnacentral:rRNA from 1 species
UACGGAGGGUGCAAGCGUUAUCCGGAUUUACUGGGUUUAAAGGGUGCGCAGGCGGAUAUGUAAGUCAGUGGUGAAAUCUCUGGGCUUAACCCGGAAAUUGCCGUUGAUACUAUAUAUCUUGAAUGCUGUGGAGGUAAGCGGAAUAUGUCAUGUAGCGGUGAAAUGCUUAGAGAUGACAUAGAACACCUAUUGCGAAGGCAGCUUACUACGCAGAUAUUGACGCUCAUGCACGAAAGCGUGGGGAUCAAACAGG